GUAGAUCGCAUUAUCUUGAAUCUCAAAGUCCGCCUCUCUGAUGUGCGGUCUUUUUCUUCAUACCUGCAAUGGAUGUUACGCCUGGAUUUGCAUUCUUUAUUAUUUUACUGCAUUUAAUUCACGCGAAUGGACUUUAUAUCUCCAAUGGCAUAGAGUCUCUGCAGCAUGUCCUGAGGGAGUAUGGAGUUGUUAAGCCUGUGAACACUGAUUCAGUGGGCCGGUUCCUCUCAGGCGCUGUCUCUGCACCUCAACUGGACAGCCAGCACCAGCAGGCUCACAGACGCUGGAAAAGAGAGGCUGUAGCCGCCUCAGACCCCAGCCAUGGAGACCUGGAGGAGGGAGAGGGUACAGCCAGGCACAGGGAGACACUCUUCUACAAUGUCACUGUGUUCGGCCAGGAGCUCCACCUGCGCCUGCACCUCAACUCCAGGCUGGUGGUCCCCGGAGCUAAGGUGGAGUGGCACGAGGAGGGCAGCGAGCCCACCUAUGAGCCUCUACGGGACAGCGACUGCUUUUAUGUAGGAGAGGUCACCAACGUCAGGGACACAUCCGUCGCUAUCAGCAACUGUGAUGGCCUGGCAGGAAUGAUCCGUACGGGGAAGGAGGAGUUCUUCAUCGAGCCCCUGGUGCGUGGAGGGGGCCUGAUGGUAGAGGAGGAAGAGAGAGGAGACGGACGACAUCACAUUGUUUAUCGCUCCUCUGCCAUUAAGAGGCCCCCUGUCAAUCAAACAGCAGACUCUCACCCCCGAGGGUCAGUUCUAGGUCAUCUGAUGGACCUGCAGGCCCUGUCCAGAGGAGUGCAGCAGCAGCAGCAUCACAACCGGAUCUGGAACAGGACCAGGCAGGCUCGAGCCCGUCGCCAGGCCAACGAGGAACACGAGCUGUUCAACAUCGAGGUUCUACUCGGGGUGGACUCCUCUGUGGUCCACUUCCAUGGCAGAGAGCACAUCCAGAAGUACCUCCUCACCCUCAUGAACAUAGUGAAUGAGAUUUACCAGGAUCGUACCCUGGGUGCUCACAUCAACGUGGUUCUGGUCCGUAUCAUCAUGCUGUGUCCUGCCAAGUCUAUGAGUCUGAUAGAGCUGGGCAACCCGUCUCAGAGUCUAGAGAACAUAUGUCGCUGGGCCUUCCUGCAGCAGAAGGAAGACAGGAGUGAUCCAGAGUACCAUGACCAUGCCAUCUUCCUCACCCGACAGGAGUUUGGACCCUCCGGCAUGCAAGGUUACGCUCCUGUGACGGGCAUGUGCCACCCAGUGCGGAGCUGCACUCUCAACCACGAGGAUGGCUUCUCCUCUGCCUUCGUCGUGGCACAUGAGACUGGACAUGUGCUGGGUAUGGAGCAUGAUGGCCCCCCUGGUAAUGAAUGUGGCGACGAGGUGCCCAUGGGCAGCAUCAUGGCCCCUCUGGUGCAGGCUGCCUUCCAUCGCUUCCACUGGUCCCGAUGCAGCCAGGCGGAGCUCAGCAAGUACCUGAACUCCUAUGACUGUCUCCGCGACGACCCCUUUGACCAUGACUGGCCGGCGUUGCCACAGUUACCAGGGAUCCACUACUCCAUGGACGAGCAGUGUCGAUUUGACUUUGGCGCCGGCUACAUCAUGUGCACGGCGUACAGCACCUAUGACCCCUGCAAGCAGCUCUGGUGCAGUCACCCAGACAACCCAUUCUUCUGCAAAACCAAGAAGGGUCCGCCCAUCGACGGCACUAAGUGUUCACCGGGGAUGCACUGCUUCAAAGGUUACUGCAUCAAGUUGACUCCAGACAUUCUAAGGCAGGAUGGUGGUUGGGGCACGUGGAGUAACUUUGGCUCCUGCUCUCGCACCUGUGGGGGCGGUGUGCGCUUCCGGACCCGUCAGUGUGACAACCCAACCCCUGCCAAUGGAGGACGCACCUGCUAUGGCAACAGCUAUGAAUUCCAGCUGUGCAACCUAGAGGAGUGCUCCGAGCCUUUCGCUGACUUCAGGGAGGAGCAGUGCAAGAUGUGGGACCCCUACUUUGAGUAUGACAACACCAAGCACCACUGGCUGCCCUAUGAGCAUCCUGACCCUGAUGAGAGAUGCCAACUCUACUGCAAGUCUAAGGAGACAGGAGACGUGGUGGCCAUGAACAGGAUGGUGCACGAUGGCACACGCUGCUCCUACAAAGACCCUUACAGUAUAUGUGUGCGGGGGGACUGUGAGCACGUUGGCUGUGAUAACCAGAUAGCCUCCGACACGCAGGAGGACAAAUGUGGGAUAUGUGGUGGAGACAACUCCAGCUGUAAGAUCAUCAAGGGAAACUUCACUAGAAGUGUUAAAAAACAAGGUUUCCUCAAGAUACUUGAAAUCCCCCGAGGGGCCAGGCAUCUGUUGAUCCAGGAGUUCAAGGGGACCCCUCACAUCCUCGCGGUGAAGAACCAGGCCACAGGUUAUCUGUUUCUGAAUAACGAGGAUGAGUUCCCAGAGUCCCGUAUGGUGAUAGAGAAGGGGGUGGAGUGGGAGUACCACAACGAUGACGACACGGAGACCGUCCAGACCACAGGACCUCUGGGAUAUGCUGUUCUGGUCAUGAUCCGUUCCCACGGUGACUCCAAAGUGACCCUCUCCUACAAAUACAUUCUGCACGAGAAGCUGCAGUCAUCCAUAGAGAGCAACCUGGUGCAGGAGGACACAGCCUACUUUGAAUGGGCUCUGAAAAAGUGGUCUCAGUGCUCUAAACCCUGUGGAGGAGGUAAGCAGUACACACGGUUUGGCUGCAGGAGAAAGUCCGAUGGGAAGAUGGUCCACCGCAGCUACUGUGUGAACAUUGACAAUCUCAGACCUAUCAGCAGGGAUUGUAACCAGAAAGAGUGCUCCCAGCCAGUUUGGAUCACUGGGGACUGGGAGGAGUGCAGUUCAUCCUGUGGGAAGACGGGCUACCAGAGCCGCUCUGUACGCUGUCAGCAGCCCCUCUCUGGAGGUGGCCAACGUUCCAUCCACAGCAAGUACUGUAACGAUGACAGGCCAGAGGGACGACGACCCUGCAACCGCCAGCUCUGCCCUGCCCAGUGGAGAGUAGGACCCUGGUCCCAGUGUUCGGUGACGUGUGGUAACGGGAGCCAGGAGCGCCAGGUUCUGUGUAACACUCCUGAUAACUCAGUUGGACUCUGCAUGGAGACAAAACCCAUUACACUCAGGACCUGCCAGCUAGUCCCCUGCACAGGUGACGGAAAAAACUUUUUGAUCCAGUGGCUGUCACGGUCCAACCCAGAAUUUCCUGUACCCAAGAUCUCCUCAAGGCAGUGUAAGGGGGAUAGGUCAACGUUCUGUCGUAUGGAGGUGCUGAGCAGGUACUGCACCAACACGGGGUACAGACAGAUGUGCUGCAAGUCCUGCACCGAGGGGAACUUCACCACUAUGGGCCAGAACCUCACCACUGGGUCCUGGAGAUACCUUGUAACUGGAGAUUCCUGCCUACAGUUACCGUGUAGGGCACUGCAAGGUUGGGUGACCAGGGCCAUCUGUGUCCUGCAUAACUUCAUGAGGAUAGACACGAGGACCAGGAGGGGAUCUGUAGAUCACCGCUGUGUGCCAGAGGAGACGUCUGCUGCUCUGCAGGAUGUUUCAAGGAUGGGGUCCAACAAUGCAGCAAGAGAGGCAAUCCGUCUGCGGGAGAUCAUUACCUCCUACUUCUUCAAAGACAGUGUUGUUCCCUGAGGUUAUCUUGAGUGACCGAGGUCGUGGAACAAGGCACCAUUUCCCAGUCCCGAUUCCAGUCCGCGUCCUGGGUCCAGGCCUGUCAAGCUCCACACAAGAGGUCAUCGUCCACUGCUUCUGUUGGAAAUACGUGAGAAAAGACAUUGGCUGUGAAGUUGGUAAGUUGUUUGGUAAGUAUAUAGCAUAGGUAUCUGUCUUGUAUUCCAAGUAACAUUUACAAGCAUGUAAAUAUUUGUAUAUUUUCCAUUUGUUUGCUGGUAAAUAUUUGAAACUUGCUUGAAUUGGCUGUAAAUUUAUACAUUUGCAUAUUAAAAUGUAUUCAUUGCAGGUAACAUUUUCAAUUGACUGUUCAGUUGACCAGUUAGACUUACUGGUCCUUAACCCCUUCUCCGUAGCCAUGAAUCUUUUGUGUCCAAUUCCAAAUCCAAUUUUAGGCCAGGGUUGGUAUGGAAUUAGACAUUGGUUUCUAGUUAGUGUUUGCAUAUCUAGAGGUUCUAGAUUUGUGUAUGUAAUAUGGCAGAAGUGUCCCGGAGUCCAUUACACAGCAGGGUUGAGUCAUAUUGCCACACCUAUCCAAGUCCCAUCAGGUCAAGCACUACAAAGAUAGAGUAGGGGGUUAAAGGCCUUAAUUAAAAACAAAAUCCUCCUCUCGACCUGUACCUUGACGUGGUGAGAGGGCUUUCAACUAAACCAGGCCCAUGUUAUUGAACCCCUGACUGAGACUGGCUGCCUGUCGAGGACAACUUUCUCUCCUCUCCCUCCAGACGAAAUUCUGCAUCUUGUGACGUCUGAUUGCUCAGCAAUCCACCCACUAAUCCCAUCCCCUCCUCCAUCUCAUUACAUCAUCUAAAGCUACUGUUAUUGUCAUGUUGUCAUUAUCUACUAAUAAAGUUUGCUUGCUGUGUCAUACUGGGCAUAUAAUUACUACGCAGCCUAUAUAAUGCCAAAUGUGUAGUGCUUUUCACACGCAGGUGCAUGAGCCAUGUGCUCAUAGGACUAGCAGCAGCACAAUCACCUUGUAGUAUUCUAACACAUUUGUCAAUGGAAACAACAAUAUGAACUGUAUGUUUUCAUACCUGAUAAUCUGAUCUGUUGUCCUCCUUUGACUUUUGAACUGUGUCAUGAAUGGUAAAGAAUGCUAAUAUCCACAUAAUGAAGAUUGCAUACCAAAUAAAAUACAUUUUCAGGAAUA